GACGAACGCUGGCGGCGUGCUUAACACAUGCAAGUCGAACGAAGAGCGAUGGAAGCUUGCUUCUAUCAAUCUUAGUGGCGCACGGGUGAGUAACGCGUAAUCAACCUGCCCUUCAGAGGGGGACAACAGUUGGAAACGACUGCUAAUACCGCAUACGAUCUAAUCUCGGCAUCGAGGAUAGAUGAAAGGUGGCCUCUACAUGUAAGCUAUCACUGAAGGAGGGGAUUGCGUCUGAUUAGCGAGUUGGAGGGGUAACGGCCCACCAAGGCGAUGAUCAGUAGCCGGUCUGAGGGGAUGAACGACCACGUUGGGACUUAGACACGGCCCAGACUCCUACGAGAGGGAGCAGUGGGGAAUCUUCCGCAAUGGACGGAAGUCUGACGGAGCAACGCCGCGUGAGUGAUGACGGCCUUCGGGUUGUAAAGCUCGGUUAAUCGGGACGAAAGGCCUUCUUGCGAAUAGUGAGAAGGAUUGACGGUACCGGAAUAGAAAGCCACGGCUAACUACGUG
rnacentral:rRNA from 1 species